GACGAACGCUGGCGGCGUGCCUAACACAUGCAAGUCGAACGGAAAGGCCCGGCUUUUGCGGGGUGCACGAGUGCGGAACGGGGGAGUAACACGCGUGUAACAUGCCCUUGACAUUGGGAGAAAACUAGGAAAAUCGGGCGAAUAUCGGAUAGGAGCUCUUGAUGCACGGGGGGGGAUGGAAAGUUUCGGCGGUUGGGGAUGGACUCGCGGCUUAUCAGCUGGUUGGGGGGGUAGUGGCGUACAACGGUUUUGAGGGGUAGCCGGCCUGGGAGGGUGAACGGCCACAUUAGGCCUACGAUACGGCCCAGACUCCUACGUGCGGCAGCGGUGGAAAGUCUUGCACAAUGGGCGGGCGUCUGUGACAGCGACGCCGCGUGCGUGAUACCGGCCUUCUGGUUGUGAACCGAUUUCGCCUGUGACAAGCCGUGAUUGACGGUAAUGGGUCAAGAAGCACCGGCUAACUACGUG
rnacentral:rRNA from 1 species